UAAUUUUUGUUUGGCAUUCCAGUUAAAUCUGAUGGAGCCACCCCAUGAUGCUUACUAUGUAAAUCAACAGAAUAUGCAGGGACUGGGACAGCUAAACUCAAUUGCGUCGAGCCAUGAAGGUUUUUUUGAGUCUCAACCAAGCAUGACUGGACUGGGACAUCUGGAUUUUAGGCCACCAAGUUUCAGCUACGGUCUGCAGGAUGAGCCUAAUGUGAGAUCAACUGAGUUGCAUGGUACUGCUAGGCAUGUAUGAGGAUGGUGAAUUACGUGACUGCCUAUUAGCGACUGAUGGUGUUUUGCAUUUAAAAUCGACCAGAUUGUAGAUCGGCAGCUAUACAUUUCUUGAAAACCUCUGCUAUGAAACUUCUAAAGCAGGAGAUUUCUGGAUCUAUCGACUCAUAUGAGAAAUGUUUUGCUUGCACAUGUUGAACAGGGCUGAAAACAGUGAGAAGAAUGCAGUUUUUUUUCAUAUAUUAGAUUAGAAUUAGUUAAGCUAUUAGACCUUUUAAAUCGCCAAUCUCUAAAUUUUAAUUGUGUUAUGAUUAAUGUCAUCGUUGUCCUGUUCAUUAACUGCGCAUUGGGUUGCAGGAAUAAAUAAGAUUGGAACGCAAAAUUGACGAGAUUUAACUUC